AGAAAGAACUUUUUAUCAUACCAAAAACAUCUUGCCUUUACAAGGAGAGUAUUUGUUCAUGAAUGGGCCCAUUUCCGCUGGGGUGUGUUUAAUGAACACAAUGACUUGAUUCCAUUUUACAACUCCAACAAUGGAACCUCUGAAGCAACAAGAUGUUCACUCAGCAUAAAAGGAACAAUUGCUGAGUGCAAAGGCAGAUCCUGUUCAACAUGUACCAUUGAUCAAAGUACAGGAUUACCAAAUAAGGAAUGUAGAUUUUUCCCAGAGAAAAAUCAACCAUCAACAUCUUCAAUAAUGUACCUACAGGGAUUACCAAGUGUAAGUAGAGCGACCAGCAGAUGUUUUCUCAACUAAUUGGCAAGGUUGUUUAUUCUCAUUUAUCAUGACUGAAGAAAUUGGUGGCCCUUGUAAACAUACCUAAUGUCUGGGGAUUUACUGCUGAA